CCUACGGGGGACAGCAGUGAGGAAUAUUGGUCAAUGGGAGAGAUCCUGAACCAGCCAAGCCGCGUGAGGGAAGACGGCCCUAUGGGUUGUAAACCUCUUUUGUCGGGGAACAAAACCCGGGACGUGUCCCGGACUGCGUGUAUCCGAAGAAAAAGCAUCGUCAAACUCCGUGCCAGCAGCCGCGGUAAUACGGUGGAUGCGAGCGUUAUCGGGAUUUAUUGGGGUAAAAGGGUGGGUAGGCGGUCCGUUAAGUCAGCGGUAAAAUUGCGGGGCUAAACCCCGUCGAGCCGUUGAAACUGGCAGACUUGAGUGGGCGAGAAGUACGCGGAAUGCGCGGUGUAGCGGUGAAAUGCGUAGAUAUCGCGCAGAACUCCGAUUGCGAAGGCAGCGUACCGGCGCCAGACUGACGCUGAGGCACGAAAGCGUGGGGAUCGAACAGGAUUAGAUACCCCUGUAGUC
rnacentral:rRNA from 1 species